UUGUAGAAUUCAUCUUAUAUUAAAAAGUAUAGGUGAUAAUUUGGAUAAUAAUUAUGGUAUGAUUAAUAAUUGCACCUAACAUCAAGAAAUC